GACUCUCAGCAAUAGAUAUCUCGGCUCUCGCAUCGAUGAAGAACGUAGCAAAAUGCGAUACUUGGUAUGAAUUGCAGGAUCUCGUGAACUACCGAGUCUCUGAAUGCAAGUUACACCUGGAGCCUUCUAGUCGAGGGCACGUCUACCUAGGCAUCA